rnacentral:rRNA from 1 species
GACGAACGCGGCGGCGUGCUUAACACAUGCAAGUCGAACGAAGAGCGAUGGAAGCUUGCUUCUAUUAAUCUUAGUGGCGAACGGGUGAGUAACGCGUAAUCAACCUGCCCUUCAGAGGGGGACAACAGUUGGAAACGACUGCUAAUACCGCAUACGAUCUAAUCUCGGCAUCGAGGAUAGAUGAAAGGUGGCCUCUACAUGUAAGCUAUCACUGAAGGAGGGGAUUGCGUCUGAUUAGCUAGUUGGAGGGGUAACGGCCCACCAAGGCGAUGAUCAGUAGCCGGUCUGAGAGGAUGAACGGCCACAUUGGGACUGAGACACGGCCCAGACUCCUACGGGAGGCAGCAGUGGGGAAUCUUCCGCAAUGGACGAAAGUCUGACGGAGCAACGCCGCGUGAGCGAUGACGGCCUUCGGGUUGUAAAGCUCUGUUAAUCGGGGACGAAAGGCCUUCUUGCGAAAUAGUGAGAAAGGGAUUGACCGGUACCCGAAUAAAAAG